rnacentral:lncRNA from 1 species
CAGAUGUAUGCACCUCAUAAGUAGACGUGCACAUACUUCUUGACCUGAGAACAGUGAGAUAGAAUAAUUUCUCUUUAAUGGAUUAGAAUAAUUUCUCUUUAAUGGACCUUCCAGGUCUUUGUUUUGGAGUAGCAGUGUAUUAUAUAGUCUAGUGGGUAAAUCCAUGGCCUAAAUUGGAAUACAGACUAAAUGACAUUGGGCAUAUUAAUUCAAUUGAAGGUUGUUUCCUCAUUUAAACAAUGGAAAUAAAAAUAAUAUCUUGCAGAAUUUUACAAAUAUUAGGAUAUACCCCAUAUGUAUGUAUGUAUGUUUGUAUGUGUGUAUGUUUGUAUGUGAUAGUACAGCUGUUAAUAGCAGUCAACAAUACUCUGUAAAUUGCAGUUGUUACUAUAUUUCAGUUGUUUUUUGUCUCUGCCAAAGCAACAAACCAAUGAAAAAUGUAGAUAUGUGUUAGAUCAGUGAUCCUCAAGCUUUAAAGUGCAUGAGAAUAACUUGGAGGACUCAUUAAAGCCGAUUAUUGAAUCCUACCCCCAGACAUGGUGAUUAAAUUGUUCUGUGGUGCAGCUGGAGAAAUUGCUUCUGCUGCAGUAGGGAGUUGCUUGGCUUUGGAAUUAUAAUCUUCCACUUCCACCUAGUGGCUAAUUUAUGAAGUACAAUGUAUAUGCACUUUUAACUAAUGUUUACUGCCCUAUGAAAAAUUCACUAUCUUCAUUUUACAAAUGAUAAAACUGAAAUGUGAAGAGAACUAACUUGCUUAAAGUUUUUCAAGUAGUAUAGGGGGAACUGAUGAUUGGAUUCAAGACUAUAAAAGUUGGUGCUCUCAAUUAUCCUUUCU